AUUGAACGCUGGCGGCAGGCCUAACACAUGCAAGUCGAACGAGUGGCGGACGGGUGAGUAAUGUCUGGGAAACUGCCCGAUGGAGGGGGAUAACUACUGGAAACGGUAGCUAAUACCGCAUACCAUCAGAUGUGCCCAGAUGGGAUUAGCUAGUAGGUGGGGUAACGGCUCACCUAGGCGACGCUCCCUAGCUGGUCUGAGAGGAUGACCAGCCACCCUGUAACUGAGACAUGGUCCAGACUCCUACGGGAGGCAGCAGUGGGGAAUAUUGCACAAUGGGCGCAAUCCUGAUGCAGCCAUGCCGCGUGGAUGAAGAAGGCCUUCGGGUUGUAAAGUACUUUCAGCGGGGAGGCGUUACUCGCAGAAGAAGCACCGGCUAACUCCGUGCCAGCAGCCGCGGUAAUAC
rnacentral:rRNA from 1 species